rnacentral:tRNA from 1 species
GACUCAUUAGCUUAGUGGAUAACGUGAUGGCAUUUGAAGCGAAAGGUACUAGGUUCGAGUCCCAGAGUGAAC